GGACCCUGCAGCUGGUGCAGACAUAUGUCAGAUUUACAGGUGCAGAUAAGCAUUCUGGGAGUGCCACCCGGCACCCUGCUGCUGCUGCUGUGGUUAUUACUGUUCUUCUCGUGACAGGACUCCUCAUAGUAGCAUGGAGAAAAGGAUGGCUCCAAAGAUUAACACAGUUAAUUCAAGGACUAAGAGGUGAUGGUAACCAGGGGAGAGGAGAAGGACCAGAAGAUAGAGGAGAGGAGUUACAGCCUCAGGGUGGUAAUCAGG